UACGUAGGUGGCAAGCGUUAUCCGGAUUUACUGGGUGUAAAGGGCGUGUAGGCGGGAGUGCAAGUCAGAUGUGAAAACCACGGGCUCAACCUGUGGCCUGCAUUUGAAACUGUACUUCUUGAGUACUGGAGAGGCAGACGGAAUUCCUAGUGUAGCGGUGAAAUGCGUAGAUAUUAGGAGGAACACCAGUGGCGAAGGCGGUCUGCUGGACAGCAACUGACGCUGAGGCGCGAAAGCGUGGGGAGCAAGCAGG
rnacentral:rRNA from 1 species